rnacentral:tRNA from 1 species
GCCAGCAUGGCACAAUGGUUUGAGUGCUGGACUUUGAUUCUGGAGACCAGGGUUCGAUACCCAACUCAGCCG